UUCAAAUCCAGAGGCUUAAAGCUCUAAGCCUCAAGGACAGAGGUUUACAGCUCCAAGCUUUCGGCACUAAAGGC
rnacentral:pre_miRNA from 1 species